UACGGGGGGGGCAAGCGUUGUUCGGAAUUACUGGGCGUAAAGGGCUCGUAGGUGGCCAACUAAGUCAGACGUGAAAUCCCUCGGCUUAACCGGGGAACUGCGCCUGAUACUGGAUGGCUUGAGUUUGGGAGAGGGAUGCGGAAUUCCAGGUGUAGCGGUGAAAUGCGUAGAUAUCUGGAGGAACACCGGUGGCGAAGGCGGCAUCCUGGACCAACACUGACACUGAGGAGCGAAAGCCAGGGGAGCAAACGGG
rnacentral:rRNA from 1 species